AAGCGUGCGCAGGCGGCCUUUGCAAGACAGAUGUGAAAUCCCCGGGCUCAACCUGGGAACUGCAUUUGUGACUGCAAGGCUAGAGUACGGCAGAGGGGGAUGGAAUUCCGCGUGUAGCAGUGAAAUGCGUAGAUAUGCGGAGGAACACCAAUGGCGAAGGCAAUCCCCUGGGCCUGUACUGACGCUCAUGCACGAAAGCGUGGGGAGCAAACAGGAUUAGAUACCCUUGU
rnacentral:rRNA from 1 species